rnacentral:lncRNA from 1 species
UUCCAACCUUACAGUAGAAUGCAUAUCAAAGUAUCCUUUAUUUAAAAUGUAUUUAGUGCAAUAAUGAUAAUAAUACUAAAAGUAACAUGUUUUAUGCACAUCUGCAAAAAACAGUUGGAGUCAAACAAAACAGAGUCAAAGGUCUAUCACGAAUUAGGUUGUUUAUUCAUUUGCUUACAGUAUUUCACAUUACACAAUAUCUCACUAUAAUGUAGCGUUCAUUGACUUUGAAAUUAUCUGUCAGUGAUACAGUAAACAAGAUACAACAACUGCUAUGUACACUUUAGUUUUUGACAAUAUAUACAAUAUAGUACUUAAAGGAACACACUCCACUUUUUUUGGAAAUAGGCUCAUUCUCCAUCUCCCUCAGUUAAAAAUGCAGCGUCUUCUUUCUAGAUCCAUACGUUAAUAGGGCUCUGGAGCGUGAUCUUACGGGAUGGGGCGUAGCCAAGAUUUUUGGUCGAGGCGCCAUAUUAGCAGGCCAAACAAAUGCUUGCUGUGUGGCCGGUUGUAAUGUUAGAUUGCACUACCGGCAAAGGAAUAAGCUUGAAAACAGGCUCUCAUUUCAUUGUUUCCUCACCUGGAAGCAUCAUGAGGGAGCUUAUGUGUUGGAUGUUACCAAAAGAAGGCGUCUAGCCUGGAUAGCAGCUGUGAGACGAGCUGAUAUUCAGUUCUCUACCAUCCCCAGAUAUCUGUUGGUGUGCUCCAGUAUUUUCAUUCAGCAAACCAGCCUAUGAAAUGAAUGAAACAAAUCCUGACUGGGUUCCAACACUACACAUGGGGCACUACGAAAUCCCUGCUUCAAACUACAUGCUACAUACCACCAUACCAAUCAGAUAACUUCUUCCAUGUGAGGGUAAAAAGGUGACCCUCCUGGAUAAGAUGGCAAAGGUUUGCUGCGUUUUGGUGAACAUGUGCCCCAGUGUGGUAGUAAAACCAGGGAAAAUGCUCUUGUUAAAUACUCUUAAGUCUUGUGCUGUUUAUGUAGUGAUAAGUUUUCAAAAGAGACAGUAAAUUACAGAAUGCUAGUAGUGGGUGAUAUUAUUUAAAUGCUGUCAUGAUUUUAUGUGAACAUUUUGUCAUUUGUAAACUAUACAUAACAUUGAUUCUACAUGGUAACUGAUUUGAUGUUCUACAAAGUGCUUUUAAUUACAAAUAGGCAAACAUUUCUUUGUUUCUUUAUUCAACUUUUGAACAGUGGUACUUAGUAAGUACAUAUUCAGUAAAUGCAAAUUAUUUACAUGGCCCCCUAAAUUAAAACAUUUUGGGUUAUUCAGAACAGAACUAAGCUUGGAAAGAUAUUGUCCCAUCAGUUGAUCCAACUCCUUCACAGUAGCAGGUGGAACUUUUCUUUUUUGAGGAUGGCUUCUUUUACCUGUCACAACGAAUGGUCUGUUUAUGUUUUGAUCAAGAACCUUUUUUUGGGCAGCU